CGGACGAACGCUGGCGGCGUGGAUUAGGCAUGCAAGUCGGACGGUAGGGCUUUAUCGUAAGAUAGAGUUUGAGAGUGGCGAACGGGUGAGUAACACGUAGGAAUCUACCUUAAGACGGGGACAACCCAGGGAAACUUGGGCUAAUACCGGAUGAGAGUGCGAGAGAUUGCAAUUUAAAAGGAUGGCGAAAGUUGUCGCUUAGGGAUGAGCCUGCGGUCUAUUAGUUAGUUGGUGAGGUAAGAGCUCACCAAGGCGAUGAUAGAUAGGCGGCCUUAACGGGUGGUCGCCCACACUGGGAUUGAGAUACCGGACCCAAACUCCGUACGGGAGGCAGCAGCUAAGAAUAUUCCGCAAUGGACGAAAGUCUGACGGAGCGACGCCGCGUGGAUGACGAAGGCCGAAAGGUUGUAAAAUCCUUUUGCUGAUGAAGAAUAAGCGUGGUAGGGAAUGACCGCGUGAUGACAUUAGUCGGUGAAUAAGCCCCGGCUAACUACGUG
rnacentral:rRNA from 1 species